rnacentral:tRNA from 1 species
GGAAGUGUCGCAUAGCGGUCAAUUGCACCUGUCUUGAAAACAGGAGGCCUAGCCUUCGUGGGUUCGAAUCCCUCCACUUCCGCCA